rnacentral:rRNA from 1 species
GACGAACGCUGGCGGCGUGCUUAACACAUGCAAGUCGAACGGAAAGGCCCUGCUUGCAGGGUACUCGAGUGGCGAACGGGUGAGUAACACGUGGGUGAUCUGCCCUGCACUUCGGGAUAAGCCUGGGAAACUGGGUCUAAUACCGGAUAGGAGCCAUUUUUAGUGUGAUGGUUGGAAAGUUUUUUCGGUGUAGGAUGAGCUCGCGGCCUAUCAGCUUGUUGGUGGGGUAGUGGCCUACCAAGGCGGCGACGGGUAGCCGGCCUGAGAGGGUGGACGGCCACAUUGGGACUGAGAUACGGCCCAGACUCCUACGGGAGGCAGCAGUGGGGAAUAUUGCACAAUGGGCGCAAGCCUGAUGCAGCGACGCCGCGUGGGGGAUGACGGCCUUCGGGUUGUAAACUCCUUUCGCUAGGGACGAAGCUUU